rnacentral:rRNA from 1 species
AUCCGAAGAUUUCCGAAUGAGGAAACUCACUUAGAGUAAUGUCUAAGUAUCAUUAAGUGAAUACAUAGCUUAAUGAGGGGAACUCAGGGAACUGAAACAUCUAAGUACCUGAAGGAAGAGAAAGAAACUCGAUUCCGUAAGUAGCGGCGAGCGAACGCGGAAGAGCCCAAACCAAUAAAGUUUUCUUUAUUGGGGUUGCGGACAUAUCAUAACGAAGAGGUAUCGUAAUUGAAGAGGUUUGGAAAGACCCACCA